rnacentral:misc_RNA from 1 species
AAAUUAUCUGCCUUUUACGAGUGCAUCAGCUACUAUGUUGACCUGAUUGAACAACACAGUGAUGCAUCAGAGCCUGUAAACAUGCGUAGGGCGGCAGCAGAGUCUAUGAUAGCAUCUGGCUUAUUGGACCAAGCUGAGGUUAUUGCCCCUUUUGUCUACAAUAACCAAAUUCCUGAUGGCAAUUUGUGUUCCUAUUUCAAGCAUGAAAUGGUGGUUAAUAUAUAUGCCCAUAAAGUCCUGGAUUUAUGGUUUUCAUGCAUUAGGCUUCUUGAGGAUGAAGAUGAGAGUCUUAGGAAGAAACUUGCCCUGGAUGUCCAGAA